UACGUAGGGCGCAAGCGUUGUCCGGAAUUAUUGGGCGUAAAGAGCUCGUAGGUGGCGUGUCGCGUCUGCCGUGAAAGCCCAUGGCUUAACUGUGGGUCUGCGGUGGAUACGGGCAGGCUGGAGGCUGGUAGGGGCAAGCGGAAUUCCUGGUGUAGCGGUGAAAUGCGCAGAUAUCAGGAGGAACACCGGUGGCGAAGGCGGCUUGCUGGGCCAGUUCUGACGCUGAUGCGCGAAAGCGUGGGUAGCAAACAGG
rnacentral:rRNA from 1 species